GACGAACGCUGGCGGCGUGCUUAACACAUGCAAGUCGUACGGUAAGGCCCUUUCGGGGGUACACGAGUGGCGAACGGGUGAGUAACACGUGAGUAACCUGCCCACAACUUUGGGAUAACGCUAGGAAACUGGUGCUAAUACUGGAUAUGUGCUCCUGCUGCAUGGUGGGGGUUGGAAAGCUCCGGCGGUUGUGGAUGGACUCGCGGCCUAUCAGCUUGUUGGUGGGGUAGUGGCCUACCAAGGCGGCGACGGGUAGCCGGCCUGAGAGGGUGACCGGCCACAUUGGGACUGAGAUACGGCCCAGACUCCUACGGGAGGCAGCAGUGGGGAAUAUUGCACAAUGGGCGCAAGCCUGAUGCAGCAACGCCGCGUGCGGGAUGACGGCCUUCGGGUUGUAAACCGCUUUCGGCAGGGACGAAGCUUUUUGUGACGGUACCUGCAGAAGAAACACCGGCUAACUACGU
rnacentral:rRNA from 1 species